CCCGUAACGAGCGCAACCCUUGUCCUUAGUUACCAGCACGUAAUGGUGGGCACUCUAAGGAGACUGCCGGUGACAAACCGGAGGAAGGUGGGGAUGACGUCAAGUCAUCAUGGCCCUUACGGCCUGGGCUACACACGUGCUACAAUGGUCGGUACAGAGGGUUGCCAAGCCGCGAGGUGGAGCUAAUCUCACAAAACCGAUCGUAGUCCGGAUCGCAGUCUGCAACUCGACUGCGUGAAGUCGGAAUCGCUAGUAAUCGCGAAUCAGAAUGUCGCGGUGAAUACGUUCCCGGGCCUUGUACACACCGCCCGUCACACCAUGGGAGUGGGUUGCACCAGAAGUAGCUAGUCUAACCUUCGGGAGGACGGUUACCACGGUGUGAUUCAUGACUGGGGUGAAGUCGU
rnacentral:rRNA from 1 species